GCCGAGGUAGCUCAGCUGGUAGAGCAGCGGUAUCGUAAACCGAAGAUCGGGGGUCCGAAUCCCCCCCUCGGCU
rnacentral:tRNA from 1 species